rnacentral:rRNA from 1 species
AAUAUUGGACAAUGGGCGAAAGCCUGAUCCAGCCAUGCCGCGUGAGUGAUGAAGGCCNNNGGGUUNUCAAGCUCUGUCCUUGGNGACNAAGGUCUUCGGACUUGACGGUACCCAUGGAGGAAGCCCCGGCUAACUACGUGCCAGCAGCCGCGGUAAUACGUAGGGGGCAAGCGUUGUCCGGAAUUAUUGGGCGUAAAGGGUGCGUAGGCGGCCUUUUAAGUCAGAUGUGAAAGCCCACGGCUUAACCGUGGGACUGCAUUUGAAACUGGAGGGCUUGAGUAUCGGAGAGGGUAGUGGAAUUCCCAGUGUAGCGGUGGAAUGCGUAGAUAUUGGGAGGAACACCAGUGGCGAAGGCGACUACCUGGACGAAAACUGACGCUGAGGCACGAAAGCUAGGGGAGCAAAC